GGUGGCUCAGCGGUAGAGCACUCGCCUUGCAUGCAUGAGGUCCUGGGUUCGAUUCCCCAGCACCA
rnacentral:tRNA from 1 species